rfam:Picea glauca, whole genome shotgun sequence.
UUAUGUACAUGCCUACAACAUAGCGUUAAUGCACUAGAUCCCAUUAGAACUCCAUAGUUAAGAGCGCUUGGGCUAUAGUAGUUCUAGUAUGGGUCAUCUCCUGGGAAGUCCUAUUGUUUUACAUACC